rnacentral:rRNA from 1 species
UACGUAGGGCGCAAGCGUUGUCCGGAAUUAUUGGGCGUAAAGAGCUCGUAGGCGGCUUGUCGCGUCGGAUGUGAAAGCCCGGGGCUUAACCCCGGGUCUGCAUUCGAUACGGGCAGGCUAGAGUGUGGUAGGGGAGAUCGGAAUUCCUGGUGUAGCGGUGAAAUGCGCAGAUAUCAGGAGGAACACCGAUGGCGAAGGCAGGUCUCUGGGCCGAUACUGACGCUGAGGAGCGAAAGCGUGGGGAGCGAACAGG